AGAAUCAACGCUGGCGGCGUGCCUAACACAUGCAAGUCGAACGAGAAAGUGGAGCAAUCCAUGAGUAAAGUGGCGACCGGGUGAGUAACACGUGACUAACCUACCUUCGAGUGGGGGAUAACAUCGGGAAACCGAUGCUAAUACCGCAUAACAUCGCAAGAUCAAAGCAGCAAUGCGCUUGAAGAGGGGGUCGCGGCUGAUUAGCUAGUUGGCGGGUAACGCCCACCAAGGCAAGAUCGGUA
rnacentral:rRNA from 1 species